rnacentral:rRNA from 1 species
CCUGAUGCAGCGACGCCGCGUGAGGGAUGACGGCCUUCGGGUUGUAAACCUCUUUCGACAGGGACGAAGCGCAAGUGACGGUACCUGUAGAAGAAGCACCGGCCAACUACGUGCCAGCAGCCGCGGUAAUACGUAGGGUGCGAGCGUUGUCCGGAAUUACUGGGCGUAAAGAGCUUGUAGGCGGUUUGUCGCGUCUUCUGUGAAAACUUGGGGCUCAACCUUAAGCUUGCAGGGGAUACGGGCAGACUAGAGUACUUCAGGGGAGACUGGAAUUCCUGGUGUAGCGGUGAAAUGCGCAGAUAUCAGGAGGAACACCGGUGGCGAAGGCGGGUCUCUGGGAAGUAACUGACGCUGAGAAGCGAAAGCGUGGGUAGCGAACAGGAUUAGAUACCCUGGUAGUCCACGCCGUAAACGGUGGGUACUAGGUGUGGGUUUCCUUCCACGGGAUCCGUGCCGUAGCUAACGCAUUAAGUACCCCGCCUGGGGAGUACGGCCGCAAGGCUAAAACUCAAAGGAAUUGACGGGGGCCCGCACAAGCGGCGGAGCAUGUGGAUUAAUUCGAUGCAACGCGAAGAACCUUACCUGGGUUUGACAUACACCGGAAACCUGCAGAGAUGUAGGCCCCCUUGUGGUC